rnacentral:lncRNA from 1 species
CACAAACUGCUAUAUUAUCACCACGAACAGAACUGUCCGUAUUAGCUUUUAUCCAUGGGACAGGCGGCGUUUUCCACAAUAUCAUGAUCUGAUUCUGAGUUUCAAUUGGAUCAUAUACUGUAUUACCCGCCAGUAGUGGUGUACUGGUUUUAAUUAAAUUAUCACGAAAAUCAUUUUUAAAAAUACAAAUAAAAAAUGUAACACCCCAUAUAGAUUUAUCUAGAAUAUCUAUAGGAGCAAUCAUAGCCGGAUCGGGAUACACUAAAUACAUUGCAUUUCGUUCCAAUAUGCUAAUAGAAUUACAUUUAUCCAAGGAAUGUAUACCAAAUUGAGCUAACAUCUAAAUACAUAAUCUAACCGAGUCUUGUACAACAUAUAAGAAAAUCUUAACAUUAGCUCAAUAGUGUAAUCCAUAUAUCUGAAUUUCAUGCUUCAAGGCCUCGACACCUCGAUCAACCUGUGUAUCUGAAACAAAAUGUGGGGGGGUGAGACAGCCACUUCGUCUCAGUGGUUCCAUUUACCUAUAGAGUUAGUAACUAAGAGGAACAAACUAACAGUUGAUCAUUUUAUAUGUAGCAUCAUAUUCAUUCGUCAAUUACAUAGCAUAUAAAUAAGUGUAUCACACAAUAAUUAUCUGAGUUCAUUUUACAGACAACUUGAGGUGAGUAGUCUCAAGAGGUCUAGCUAGCCGGCUAAAUUCCCAUCUUUCAGGGCUAGAGCAUGAACAUACUCAUCUUAUCGUCAUGUGGAAUUCCCUUUCGAAAUUCCAACCAACCGCCAAACUGCUAUCUAAAGCAGUUUGUGUGGUGCCUGAUGAACCAUGACUUAAACAUUUUAUUCAUAUCCGUGGUCCAAAGUCCACUGAAACAUUUCAUAAUUAAAUAUGGCACAAGGCCCAUAAUCCAUUCCAUAAGAUCAACUGUCUAAGUCCUAUAAGUUUUCUAAACCUCUUGUGAAUAAUAAACCUCUUAGGUCUCUACUUUAUUGGUACUCGCUUUCUAAAUCCAUUUCUUAUAUGUUAAUCGUCGGGAGAACUAUUUAUAUUUCCCUUGUGUAACCAUAUCAAUUACACAUCAUUGUUAUAGGUUUUGCUUACUAAUUUUCAAGUCGUCUUAGCUAUUUAGCCUACCAAAUUUAGGUGCAUAUAAAAUGCUAAAAUCAUAAGUAGAAGUUGUAGGCAUUCUCCAAAACUUGUUGAUGAUCGAUUGACAUUUAAAAAUAGUGUUUUUAUAAAGUCCAAAACAAUUUCAUUCAUCCCCAAUCCAUUACAUCAUUAGGAUACAACUUCUAAAUAUAAUUUUAACAUAAUAAUGAACUUUGGGUGAAAAGCUCAUCAUACACCAAUUUCUUAUAAUGAUUCUAUCACAUGCAUAAUAAUUGGGGAAAACUAGAUUAUCAUACAUGUGUAAUAUCCUUCAAAAUGGCAUUUGAAGAACAUUAAGAGUACAAUGGGAAUCUAAUACUCCAAUUUGUCAUUGUAUCUAAACCUAUGUCCUAUAGUGAACAAUUAGUUCUAAAUUGGCCAAACUUAAAAUGGGUAGGCUAUCCUAAAGGAACCCACCUUAUUAGGAGGAUGAGCAUGCUUGCGUGAGUUCAAGAUCCUGAUGUAUUUGUACUCAUAUGCACCGAUUCGCGUAACUUGAACACGUAGAAGCCCGCUGCCAAAAUCCUGCAACUUCACAAAAUCAGACCCCAACUUCCACAAUUUAAUUGAAAUACUAGAAAUACUAAACGAUGUCCGAUUUGAGUAAACGACCACUCGUUGGAAAGCUUAGGGUGUCAAGAUUACAAAUAUAAUUUUUGUUUUGAGGGUUAACUAUCCAAUUAGUUCAGUUUGAUAAAAGAAUGGGUACUGGUACAGAAACAGAGCAGAAACUUUUCUCAAACUUGUAGGUAGAUUUUCUCAUACUAUACUUAAUGAAAUUUAACAAUUCCAGUGUCAAUCCUAUAGUAAAUUUUGUCUUCUUUACACUAGAUUAAAAAUAAUUAUCAUACGACUUAUAUUCAGAGAGCUAUGCUAAAUUUACCGUAGGUAUGUUACACGAAUUUUCACAUAAAUCUUUCUUCUUCCAUAUGAACUUGCAACCCAAUCAUAUACAAUCUACUAAUAACCAAAACAAAUCCAUUUUAACUUAUAAAACCCCUUUCUUCCAUUAAUUAGGGCCUUAGAGUUUGGCAACCAACGAAACAAAAUAGAGAUAUGGUUUGAUUCUUCUUACCUUAGAAAUGUUAGUGAACAUCCAAGAGGCUUAAGGAAUUAGCUACGAGUUCUUCCAACUUCUUCAAAUCCAUUAUGAACCUUGUCUUCCUUCUUGUUCCACCUUUUUCUUCAGUUCCUACUUCCUACAACCCAAUCAAUUGCAUCUGCCUUAGCUAAUCAUGCAUGCAAAUUCAAUUUGGUGAAAACUUAAAAAUUGGGGCUUUAGGGUUUGGAAUGUAGGGUACGGCCAGUUGGGAGGAAAGAGAAGAGAAAUUGUUCCUUACCUUGUCUAUUUGUGACUCAAAAGAUGGGAGGCUGAUUUUGCAUGUGGAGUUUUAGUACUUGAACACUAUGGAAAUGAGGAGUUUGGGUUGAAGUUUGGAGUUUGAGUGAAGGAGAGUGAGGGUGAGGCGUACAGAGAGAGAAGAAUGAGUCAACAAUGGUUGGUUGUGGUCCUUCCAAGCUUAUAUAUUGGCCAAACCCAUUUAACGUUAUGCCUUUAUUAUAUUCUAAGUAUCAUUCUAAUUAUUAUUACCUUUAAUAAUUAAAAGUGGGAUGUUACAAAAAAUCUCAUUGCAAUAAAUGACAACAAAUUACAGGUUCCCUAAAGCUUGUGCUUCUAUUACAU